GUCAAUGGGCGCAAGCCUGAACCAGCCAUGCCGCGUGCAUGAUGACGGUCCUAUGGAUUGUAAACUGCUUUUGUACGGAAAGAAACACUCCGACGUGUCGGCGCUUGACGGUACCGUAAGAAUAAGGUUCGGCUAACUCCGUGCCAGCCCCCGCGGUAAUAUAAU
rnacentral:rRNA from 1 species